CCUACGGGAGGCAGCAGUGGGGAAUAUUGGACAAUGGGCGCAAGCCUGAUCCAGCAAUGCCGCGUGAGUGAUGAAGGCCUUAGGGUCGUAAAGCUCUUUUACCAGGGAUGAUAAUGACAGUACCUGGAGAAUAAGCUCCGGCUAACUCCGUGCCAGCAGCCGCGGUAAUACGGAGGGAGCUAGCGUUGUUCGGAAUUACUGGGCGUAAAGCGUACGUAGGCGGUUAUUCAAGUCAGAGGUGAAAGCCCGGGGCUCAACCCCGGAACGGCCUUUGAAACUAGGUAGCUAGAAUCUUGGAGAGGUCAGUGGAAUUCCGAGUGUAGAGGUGAAAUUCGUAGAUAUUCGGAAGAACACCAGUGGCGAAGGCGACUGACUGGACAAGUAUUGACGCUGAGGUACGAAAGCGUGGGGAGCAAACAGGAUUAGAUACCCUGGUAGUCCACGCCGUAAACGAUGAUAACUAGCUGUUCGGGCACUUGGUGCUUGAGUGGCGCAGCUACGCAUUAAGUUAUCCGUCCGUCGGGUAGGUACGGUCGGCGAAGAAUUAAAACUUAACUAAAUAGUAAGUUAGUACGGCGUGAGACGUAGCCGAACGGACGACGACGAGGGAGGUAGG
rnacentral:rRNA from 1 species